AUGACACCCAUCCUCAUCUCAAUGCUCGUGAUGAUACUCACAUUCGGAGGAAUCAGAGCCCAGACAGUGACCCAGCCAGAGGAACACAUCGCUGUCUUUGAAGGGGCCCUGGUGCAGGUGAAGUGCAACUACUCCUAUACGGGGAGCCCUGUGCUCUUCUGGUAUGUCCAGUACCCUGGACAAGGCCUCCAGGUCCUCCUGAAACAAAUCUCAAGGGAUAGCGCCAAAGGAUUCACAGCUGCUCUCGACAGAGGGGAGAAAUCCUUCCACCUGCAGAAACCCUCAGCUUAUCUGGACGACUCAGCCACAUACUACUGUGCUCUGAGUGCACAGCAACUGCGCUUGCAGGGGAAGCUGAGCAAAAACCCUUCAGAGUGA